GGUGAACGCUGACAGAAUGCUUAACACAUGCAAGUCUACCAAGAAUCACUUCGGUGAGGAAUGGUGGCGGACGGGUGAGUAACGCGUAAAUAAUCUGCCCUUUAGACUGGGAUAUCCUUUGGAAACGAAGGUUAAUACCGGAUAUUAUGAGAUGGACGCAUGUUCAACUUAUGAAAGCUAAAUGCACUAGAGGAGGAGUUUGCGUCCCAUUAGCUAGUUGGUGAGGUAAAGGCUCACCAAGGCCACGAUGGGUAGCCGGCCUGAGAGGGUGAACGGCCACAAGGGAACUGAGACACGGUCCUUACUCCUACGGGAGGCAGCAGUGGGGAAUAUUGGACAAUGGACCAAAAGUCUGAUCCAGCAAUUCUGUGUGCACGAUGAAGGUCUUCGGAUUGUAAAGUGCUUUCAGUAGGGAAGAAAAAGAUGACGGUACCUACAGAAGAAGCGACGGCUAAAUAUGUGCCAGCAGCCGCGGUAAGAC
rnacentral:rRNA from 1 species